AUGCAUGAUGCACGUCGGGCAUCUCUUAGAGUAUUUUCACUGAAGAAGAAAGCCCCAAUGCUCGUGCAAAAACGUCGGCGUCAAGUGUUGCAGUUUAGCUUGCUUUACUCCACGGCUUUUUUGUGUCAAAUCGACCGCUACAUCU